rnacentral:rRNA from 1 species
ACACAUGCAAGCCGAGCGGUAUGAUUCUUUCGGGAAUCAGAGAGCGGCGUACGGGUGCGGAACACGUGUGCAACCUGCCUUUAUCUGGGGGAUAGCCUUUCGAAAGGAAGAUUAAUACCCCAUAAUAUAUUGAGUGGCAUCACUUAAUAUUGAAAACUCCGGUGGAUAGAGAUGGGCACGCGCAAGAUUAGAUAGUUGGUGGGGUAACGGCCUACCAAGUCGAUGAUCUUUAGGGGGCCUGAGAGGGUGAUCCCCCACACUGGUACUGAGACACGGACCAGACUCCUACGGGAGGCAGCAGUGAGGAAUAUUGGACAAUGGGUGCAAGCCUGAUCCAGCCAUCCCGCGUGAAGGACGACGGCCCUAUGGGUUGUAAACAACUUUUGUACAGGGAUAAACCUAGAUACGUGUAUCUAGCUGAAGGUACUGUACGAAUAAGCACCGGCUAACUCCGUGCCAGCAGCCGCGGUAAUACGGAGGGUGCAAGCGUUAUCCGGAUUUAUUGGGUUUAAAGGGUCCGUAGGCGGAUCAGUAAGUCAGUGGUGAAAUCUCAUAGCUUAACUAUGAAACUGCCAUUGAUACUGCUGGUCUUGAGUAAGGUAGAAGUAGCUGGAAUAAGUAGUGUAGCGGUGAAAUGCAUAGAUAUUACUUAGAACACCAAUUGCGAAGGCAGGUUACUAUGUCUUAACUGACGCUGAUGGACGAAAGCGUGGGGAGCGAACAGGAUUAGAUACCCUGGUAGUCCACGCUGUAAACGAUGCUAACUCGUUUUUGGGUUUUCGGAUUCAGAGACUAAGCGAAAGUGAUAAGUUAGCCACCUGGGGGAGUACGAACGCAAGUUUGAAACUCAAAGGAAUUGACGGGGGCCCGCACAAGCGGUGGAUUAUGUGGUUUAAUUCGAUGAUACGCGAGGAACCUUACCAAGGCUUAAAUGGGAAUUGAUCGGUUUAGAAAUAGACCUUCCUUCGGGCAAUUUUCAAGGUGCUGCAUGGUUGUCGUCAGCUCGUGCCGUGAGGUGUUAGGUUAAGUCCUGCAACGAGCGCAACCCCUGUCACUAGUUGCCAUCAUUAAGUUGGGGACUCUAGUGAGACUGCCUACGCAAGUAGAGAGGAAGGUGGGGAUGACGUCAAAUCAUCACGGCCCUUACGCCUUGGGCCACACACGUAAUACAAUGGCCGGUACAGAGGGCAGCUACACAGCGAUGUGAUGCAAAUCUCGAAAGCCGGUCUCAGUUCGGAUUGGAGUCUGCAACUCGACUCUAUGAAGCUGGAAUCGCUAGUAAUCGCGCAUCAGCCAUGGCGCGGUGAAUACGUUCCCGGGCCUUGUACACACCGCCCGUCAAGCCAUGGAAGUCUGGGGUACCUGAAGUCGGUGACCGUAAAAGGAGCUGCCUAGGGUAAGAC